UCAAAACAAGCUUGCGAGUAACGCUCAA
rnacentral:sRNA from 1 species